GACGAACGCUGGCGGCGUGCUUAACACAUGCAAGUCGAACGAAGUGGCGAACGGGUGAGUAACGCGUAAUCAACCUACCCUUCAGAGGGGGACAACAGGUGGAAACGACUGCUAAUACCGCAGACUGAAGGGGGGGAUUGCGUGUGAUUAGCUAGGUGGAGGGGUAAGGGCCGAGCAGGGCGAUGAUCAGUAGCCGGUCUGAGAGGAUGAACGGCCACAGUGGGACUGAGACACGGCCCAGACUCCUACGGGAGGCAGCAGUGGGGAAUCUUCCGCAAUGGACGAAAGUCUGACGGAGCAACGCCGCGUGAGUGAUGACGGCCUUCGGGGUGUAAAGCUCUGUUAAUCGGGACGCGGUACCGGAAUAGAAAGCCACGGCUAACUACGUGCCAGCAGCCGCGGUAAUUC
rnacentral:rRNA from 1 species